CGUAGGGUGCGAGCGUUAAUCGGAAUUACUGGGCGUAAAGCGUGCGCAGGCGGUUUUGUAAGACAGGCGUGAAAUCCCCGGGCUCAACCUGGGACCUGCAUUUGUGACUGCAUAGCUAGAGUACGGUAGAGGGGGAUGGAAUUCCGCGUGUAGCAGUGAAAUGCGUAGAUAUGCGGAGGAACACCGAUGGCGAAGGCAAUCCCCUGGACCUGUACUGACGCUCAUGCACGAAAGCGUGGGGAGCAAACAGGAUUAGAUACCCUGGUAGCCCACGCCCUAAACGAUGUCAACUGGUUGUUGGGUCUUCACUGACUCAGUAACGAAGCUAACGCGUGAAGUUGACCGCCUGGGGAGUACGGCCGCAAGGUUG
rnacentral:rRNA from 1 species